AGAGGAAGGCUGCGAGAGAAAGCUGUUGUGAGGCAGGAGAGGAGACACUGCAUGAAAUAAAGGCAAUGAACCUGCCUGCCUGCUCUGGUCUUUAAUGGAGGUCCUGCUCCCAUGGAUGUCUGCCAGAAUGUUUUGAGGGCUGCUGGAGGUGGUGUCCAUACAAACAAAUGUGUACCGAAAAUAGUGAAUAGAAAUCUAAUCCAGCUAUGAACUGGGAUGGACACCCAUGUUGGCUCCAUGGGCCACUGAAGCCCAGUUGCAGGGAACAUGAGACCAGACCUUCUCUGUUGCCUGACCCCAGGAGAUGGGCAUCACCACAGGAUUCAACCUCUCUGUUGACAUCCGAAGCACAGAAGCCAAGAUGAACUGGGCUUUUAUGAGACACCACUCUUGCAGCCAAAGCUUGGCUACUUCAGGAGAAACCCGCCUUUGUCCAGGCUGGUUCACUGCCCCUACAAUUCCUGACUUGUUCUGAAAGCACUAAAGAAAAGCUUCCAUCUCGGCUUCUCUUGUGGCUGGUGGUGCUCAAUACAGCCAACUCGCUCAACACGUCUCCAUUGGGUUCCUGAUCCCAGUCAGUGACAGGAAGAAAAUGUGUGACCACUGCCAGCAACUGAAAGAACCUUUCCUUCCUUCAGAAGCCAAAGAAAAACCUGUCCUUGGGAAAUGCUGCCCCAAGCUGGCCAUGUUGGGAAUGGGCACAAAUACAUGCAUAUAAACCAGGGGUUCUCCAACUUGGAUCCCCGCGUGGGGUUGCACUACAACUCCCAUCAUCCU